GAAGGCCAAGUCCUGGAAGCUGGGGAUGGUGGGGUUUUUGGAAAGCGUCUGCGUGUAGUCCGAGAUGGCGCGGGUGACGGGGUUGCGCACCACCACGAUCAGCUUGGUGUCCCGCGACAUGUUGUAGAUGCGCCGCGGAGCCUCCUUGGUGACAAAGUAGCUGGGGGUCUUCUCCAUCGUGAUCUGCCCUUCUAGCGUCCGUGGCAUCAAGCUCCUGUACCAGCGCAGCCCCUUCUCGUAGCACCUGUCGAAGAAAUGCGGCUCAGCGCCCACCGCGCGCACCCCGGGGUGCACCCGCAGGAACUCCAGCAGCGCCCGCGUCCCGCCCUUCUUCACGCCCACGAUGAUGGCUUGCGGGAAGCGCCGACUGCCGCCGCCCAACGCCGGGCCCGCGUCCCCCGCUGCCGUCGGAGCCGCGCCGUCGGGGAGCGCGGCGGGCGGCGGCAACAGCAGGGCGGGCGGCAGCGGCUCGCAGGGCCCGGGCAGGCAGUAGAAGAAGUAGGUGAAGAAGAGGAUCAUGGUGAGGAGCAGCGAGGCGCGCCGUCCCCCGACGGGUCCCAGCAGCCGCCCGCUACAUCCCAUCGGGGGCCGCUCCCCGCGCAGCCCCCCGCCGCCGCCCCGCCGGGCAGCGCAUCCCGCCCGGCCCCGGCCCCGCCGCCGAGCCCCGCUCCGCUCCGCACCCCCGGCCC
rnacentral:lncRNA from 1 species